GUGAGGAAACUAAGAUAGAUAAAGACCAGGUGAACUGUCCAAAUGACACAGCUACCCUGGGGCUGGCAAACUCCAAACGCUUUUAACCUUGGUCCUACAGAGGAGUGGUGCAGCAGGGGAUUGAAGCCAACACUUCCAGGAGGAGACAAUGGAAGAUUUAGGAUUGCUGCCUCAAAAAAGUGUUCUGAACUUCUUUCUUUGGAGUCACUACUCAGGAGGGAUCACUGACUAUUAAGAUCUGUUCUUCUUUCAUCAGCUCAAGCGAGUUCCCUAUAUGUUCACUGUAAUUUAACCAUACCUAAUUAGAGCUGGGAAAAUGGGAGCUUUGCCAUUGUUUUCCAUGGAGCCAGGAUUUCUCCCAACCUGUUUUUCUGCAUAGAUCUAAUACUCCCUCAGUGGGCUUAAGGUUUUGGUAAUGAUAAUGACAUAGCUCUGUGAUGUCUCUGGAGGAGGAGGGCUGCUAAUUGUCAGCCACGACAAAAGUGUGAUUACUCUUUAAUUGUGUUCUAAUAAAAAGGCAUUAUACGUAUUUCCUCCUAAUUGC
rnacentral:lncRNA from 1 species